UACGUAGGGGGCAAGCGUUGUCCGGAUUUAUUGGGCGUAAAGAGCGUGUAGGCGGCUUGGUAGGUCCGCUGUGAAAACUCGAGGCUCAACCUCGAGAUGUCGGCGGAAACCACUUGGCUAGAGUCCGGAAGAGAAGAGUGGAAUUCCACGUGUAGCGGUGAAAUGCGUAGAGAUGUGGAGGAACACCAGUGGCGAAGGCGGCUCUCUAGUACGGUACUGACGCUGAGACGCGAAAGCGUGGGGAGCGAACAGG
rnacentral:rRNA from 1 species